GGGGGUGACUGGUUUCGACUUGGGACGAUAGUCCCAGGAGAAGCGGGCCGAGAAUCUGGGGUCAACUCGUAAAUGUUCCCUGGAAACCAACAACUGCCGACAACACUCGCGCAGACUUCGCUCUCGCUGCCUGAGCAGUGACCGAAGGGUCAGACCGGAUGUAGCCUUCCGUCCGGAUCCUGGCCUCAUCAAGGAGGCUUGCUGCCUCUCCUGCGUUGCAGGGGAGAGGUGGGACUUCACUGCGACUGGGCUUGUCAGUGAUCUGUCGUCAGAAGCACUGGAGCCAAGUAGAACGUCAUGACGACUGCGCCCGGAGAAGUCCUGGUUCAUCUCUCGAGGACGCGGGUUCGAUUCCCGCCACCUCCACC
rnacentral:tmRNA from 1 species